GCAAGAUACCACGGGCGCACGGCGGAUGCCUUGGCACAGGGAGCCGAUGAAGGACGCGGCAAGCUGCGAUAAUCCCCGGCGAGGAGCACACAUCCUUCGACCCGGGGGUCUCCGAAUGGGCGAACCCAUCCACAGCAGUGUGGAUAUCCCCGGCCCGAACACAUAGGGCCGGGGAGGACAACCCGGGGAACUGAAACAUCUAAGUACCCGGAGGAGAGGAAAUCAAUCUCGAGACUCCCCGAGUAGCGGCGAGCGAAAGGGGACCGAUGGCCAAACCGUCGAGCGGGCAUACCCGGCAGGGGUUCCGCCGACGGGGUUGCAGGGCCGCGCAUCCGGGGGCUGCCGCCCCCGGGCGCAGGUCCGGCUGGGGAGCGGAACGGCAUGGGAGGGCCGGCCGCAGCGGGUGACAGCCCCGUACGCGAACCCAGACCGGACGGCGCGACGCGGUCCCUGAGUAGGGCCGGGCACGUGAAACCCGGUCCGAACCUGGGUGGACCACCAUCCAAGCCUGAGUACUACCCUGUGACCGAUAGCGCACCAGUACCGUGAGGGAAAGGUGAAAAGCACCCCGGGAGGGGAGUGAAACAGUACCUGAAACCGUGCGCCCACGAGCAGUCGGAGCACCUUUAUGGUGUGACGGCGUGCCUUUUGUAGAAUGAGCCAGCGAGUCGCUGGCGCGGGGCGAGGUUAACCGAAAGGGAGCCGGAGCGAAAGCGAGCCUUAACAGGGCGACUUGAGUCCCGCGCCGCGGACGCGAAGCCGGGUGAGCUAUCCGUGGGCAGGCUGAAGCGGGGGUAAGACCCCGUGGAGGGCCGAACGCACGUCGGUUGAAAACGGCGGCGAUGACCUGCGGAUAGGGGUGAAAGGCCAAUCAAACCCGGAGAUAUCUCGUUCUCCCCGAAAUAGCUUUAGGGCUAGCGUCGCGCGUUCACCGCCGGAGGUAGAGCACCGGAUGGACGAGGGGGCUUCGCCGCCUACCGAAUCCAACCGAACUCCGAAUGCCGGCGGCCCAGAGCGCGGCAGUCAGAGCAUGUGGGCUAAGCUGUGUGCUCGAGAGGGAAACAGCCCGGACCGCCCGCUAAGGUCCCCAAGUUCCAGCCGAGUGGCAAAGGAUGUGCGUCCGCCCAGACAACCAGGAUGUUGGCUUAGAAGCAGCCAUCCAUUCAAAGAGUGCGUAACAGCUCACUGGUCGAGUGGACAUGCGCCGACAAUACACGGGGCUAAGCUGGACACCGAAGCGGCGGGAUUUUAAUUCAUUAGAAUCGGUAGGGGAGCUUCCCAUGGGCGGAGAAGCCGGAGGGCGACCGACGGUGGAGCGCAUGGGAGUGAGAAUGCUGGCAUGAGUAGCGAGAGACGAGAGAGUAACUCGUCCGCCGUGAACCCGAGGUUUCCUGGGCAAGGCUAAUCCUCCCAGGGUCAGUCGGGGGCUAAGGCGAGGCCGGGAGGCGUAGCCGACGCGCAGCAGGCAGACAUUCCUGCACCGCGCACGCGGCGCUACGACCGACGGGGCGACGGAUGGGGGUGGCUCGGCGGGGUUCUGGACGUCCCCGUGAUGGAGCGCGGCCCGCGGACCAGGGAAAUCCGGUCCGCACGAGGGCGAGGCUCCGGACGAAGCGAUUGAGCGAAGCGAGUGAGCCCGAGGUCCCUAGAAAAACCCCUAGGCAGGCGCGUGCGCGCCCGUACCGCAAACCGACACAGGUGGGUGGGUAGAACAUACCGAGGCGAUCGGGUCAACCAUGGUCAAGGAACUCGGCACAAUGGCCCCGUAACUUCGGGAGAAGGGGUGCCCGCGCGUACGUGAACCGGCUCGCCCGGGGAGCGGAGGCGGGCCGCAGUGGAGAGGCCCAAGCGACUGUUUACCAAAAACACAGGACUCUGCAGAAGCCGCAAGGCGACGUAUAGGGUCUGACGCCUGCCCGGUGCCGGAAGGUCACGCGGAGGAGUUAGCCGUCAAGGCGAAGCCCCGAAGCCAAGCCCCGGUAAACGGCGGCCGUAACUAUAACGGUCCUAAGGUAGCGAAAUUCCUUGUCGGGUAAGUUCCGACCUGC
rnacentral:rRNA from 1 species